rnacentral:tRNA from 3 species
CGGUGAGUAGCGCAGUCCGGUAGCGCAACUGGUUUGGGACCAGUGGGUCGGAGGUUCGAAUCCUCUCUCACCGACCA